rnacentral:rRNA from 1 species
GAUGAACGCUGGCGGCGCGCCUAACACAUGCAAGUCGAAUGGCACCCCUCUCCGGAGGGAAGCGAGUGGCGAACGGCUGAGUAACACGUGGAGAACCUGCCCCCUCCCCCGGGAUAGCCGCCCGAAAGGACGGGUAAUACCGGAUACCCCCGGGAGCCGCAUGGCUCCCGGGCUAAAGCCCCGACGGGAGGGGAUGGCUCCGCGGCCCAUCAGGUAGACGGCGGGGUGACGGCCCACCGUGCCGACAACGGGUAGCCGGGUUGAGAGACCGACCGGCCAGAUUGGGACUGGGACACGGCCCAGACUCCUACGGGAGGCAGCAGUGGGGAAUCUUGCGCAAUGGGGGGAACCCUGACGCAGCGACGCCGCGUGCGGGACGGAGGCCUUCGGGUCGUAAACUGCUUUCAGCAGGGAAGAGUCAAGACUGUACCUGCAGAAGAAGCCCCGGCUAACUACGUGCCAGCAGCCGCGGUAACAC